rnacentral:misc_RNA from 1 species
ACAGUGUGUAAUGACCGCAAAAAAGACAAAAAAUAAACGGAGACGUGUCACCAGAGAAAGAAGCACUCUCAAGUGACAUUUACAGCAGGGAAACCCCUCGGAUAUCUGUCGUCUUGGCCCUUGUUCGCUUUGUCAAAUCAUCUUUUGAUUUGGCACUGCGCGCAGGAGGCGUACCCAGGUCGUUAUUUCGAUCGUUAUGGGGUACUCGGUGAUGAUGUGGUCAUUGCCGACACAGAAGUAGCUAGGUUGGCUCAGCA